rnacentral:rRNA from 1 species
GGGAAGUAAAAGUCGUAACAAGGUUUCCGUAGGUGAACCUGCGGAAGGAUCAUUAAUGAAACGAAGGACGCUCUUUUUAGAGGUCCGAUCAAUCAUUUACCUUUACACUGUGCACGUACUACUUUUUUACACCAAUUUUUAACACAUUAGUUUAAGAAUGUAAAAUCAGUCUCGAAAGAGCAUAAAAUAAACAAAACUUUCAGCAACGGAUCUCUUGGCUCUCGCAUCGAUGAAGAACGCAGCGAAAUGCGAUACGUAAUGUGAAUUGCAGAAUUCAGUGAAUCAUCGAAUCUUUGAACGCACCUUGCACUCUUUGGUAUUCCGAAGAGUAUGUCUGUUUGAGUGUCAUGAAACUCUCAACCCCCUCAUUUUGUAAUGAAAUGCAGCGCGGGCUUGGAUUAUGGCUGUCUGUCGGCGUAAUUGCCGACUCAGCUGAAAUAUACGAGCAACCCAGUUUAAAACCCUGACGGCUUGACUCGGCGUAAUAACUAUUUCGCUGAGGACGUCUAACCUUUAAAUCGUUAGUGGUGCUUCUAAUGCAUUUAUAAUUUAAGCUUUAGACCUCAAAUCAGUCAGGACUACCCGCUGAACUUAAGCAUAUCAAUAAGCGGAGGA